rnacentral:lncRNA from 1 species
UUCCUAAUUAAUCGAUUGAUAAGUCUUGUAACUUCCUCCAACCAUCAAUUAAUGAAUAUUUCAAUUGUUGUUGUCAAAAAGAUCAUGUUGAUUGUUGAUGUAUCACGUUGGCCGUAAGUUCCUAAUUAUUCGAUGGAUAAGUCUUAAAAUAUGAACUUGUGUUUUGAAAUUAGUUAAGUGUAAUCACUUGAUUUGAAAAUGGUUUAGUGUUGUCACUUUGAAAUGUGAAUUCAUGACUUGUAAAUGGUUUGGUGUUGUUGCUUGAAAUGUGAAUUAGAGACAUGAAAAUGGUUAAGUGUAGUCACUUGAAAUGUGAAUUAGUGACUUGAAAAUGAUCAAGUGGAUUUUGAAGUGUUAACUAAUUACGAAGUGAAUUAGUGACUUGAAAAUGAUCAAGUGGAUUUUGAAAUGUUAACUAGUUACGAAGUGAAUUAGUGACUUGAAAAUGGUUUAGUGUAGCUACUUGAAAUGUGAAUUAGAGAGUUGAAAAUGGUUCAGUGUAGUGCUUUGAAAUGUGUAUUAGCGACUUCAAAAUGAUCUAAGUGUAGUCACUUGAGAAGUGGAUUAGUGACUUGAAAAUAGUUUAGUGUAGUUACUUGAAAGGUGAACUUUUGUUUUGAAAUUAGUUAAGUGUAAUCACUUGAAAAUGUGGAUUCAUGACUUGAAAAUGGUUCAGUGUUGUCACUUGAAAUGUGAAUUAGAGACAUGAAAAUGGUCAAGUGUAGUCAUUUGAAAUAUGAAUUCAUGACUUGAAAAUAAUAUUUUGUGCUAAUAUUAUUCCCAAUUUUGUCAUGUCAUUUUCCCCCUA